ACAACUUCAACCCAGCCAGCAAGUACUUCCCCCAGUGGGAGGCUCCCACCCUGUUACACGAACAGCCCCUGGAGAACUACCUGGAUGUGGAGUACUUCGGCACCAUCGGCAUCGGAACUCCUGCCCAGGAUUUCACUGUCGUCUUUGACACCGGCUCCUCCAACCUGUGGGUGCCCUCAGUCUACUGCUACAGUCUCGCCUGCAUGGACCACAACCUCUUCAACCCUCAGGAUUCCUCCACCUACAAGUCCACCAGCAAGACAGUCUCCAUCACCUACGGCACCGGCAGCAUGACAGGCAUCCUCGGAUACGACACUGUCCAGGUGGGCACCUGCAGGCUGCCGCUGCAUCCCCCCAUCAGGCACCCCCAAAAUAAGCUUAUUCCAGCAAGAUGGGUCUUUGUGAUCACAAAUGUAACCUGAUUGGGGGUGCGGUGUGGGGGAGAAACAGCAGAGAUGUCACAGACGUUGCUAGCUCGGGUGGCAGUGAGUAAAAGGGUGGGGUGCCAGGAGCCAUAACCCAGACUCAGCUCCACCCAAGCAGAAUGUUAUGGAGUGUGGGGAGAGUCAGUA
rnacentral:sRNA from 1 species